CGUAGUCUGCCAUACGCAGGAAGACCCGCUGAACUGAAGCAUCUCAUUAAGCGGAGGAAAAGAAACUAACUAGGAUUCCCUUAGUAAAGGCGAUCGAAAAGGGAACAGCCCAACGUCUUAAUCCCGCAAGGGAAAUGUAGUCGGUUCACCUAUUGCACUGGUCUAAGUCAGAUGGAAUGCUGCGCGAUUCAGAGUAAAAGCCUCGUAUGACCAACCGCAAGCUUACGAUGGACCGGGGAGAGUCGGAUACUUUGAGAGUAGUGUCUUAAGGGGGUGGUAUGUCCCAUCCAAGGCUAAAUAACGUGAGGAGACCGAUAGAUUACAAGUAGUGUGAACGAAAGAUGAAAAGAACUCUAAAACAGAGGGUGAAAAGUUCCUGAACUUGCUUAGGGUUAAGGCUAUUUAUAGUACCCGUCUUGAAACACGGAUUAGGGAGUUUAUCUGUAGUGCGAGUCUUUGCACGUUAACUGUAAAGGCGUAGAGAAAGCAACUGGCGUUUGCAUGGCUACUGAGCAUUACUGAUAGGACCCGAAAGGUGGUGAACUUUGCCUGCACAGGUUGAAGUCAGGGGAAACUCUGAUGGAGGACCGUACGGGUUAUUGAUGUGCAAAUCAUUUUUCUGAUGUAGGUAAAGGUGCGAAAGACUCAUCGAACCACUAAUAGCUGGUUUCCUCCGAAGUUUCCCUCAGGAUAGCUGUAAUGCAUUUAGUUAAGGGGAGUAGAGAUAUGGGUAGAGGUGCAGGGAGCUUCGGGUUCUCAACUUAUUUCCAAACUUCGAACCUCCUUGUUAGGCAUUUACCUAACUGGAAAUGCUUAAAUGAAUUAGCGUUACAAGUGGGCUCUGACCGGUAAGCGGUCAUGGCGAAAUGGAUGAACCAUACGUCUGAAUAAGGUGCCGAAAUGUACUAUCACUGAUACCAUAAAGGGAGUCCAUGUAUUUAGACAGCAGGUCGUGCCCUCAAAAGCAGGUAUCCGCUAAAGAGUGUGUUAAAACUCACCUGCCGAAUACUAGGGCCCCGAAAAUGAAUGGCGCAUAUAGUACUACCGAUCUCAGACAUCAGUUCUAUUGAACUGAGAGUAGGGGAUGUGGACAUUUUUGUGAAGGUGCAAUGUGAGUUGGACUGGAAGAUGUCUAUUACAGAUCCUAAUUGAAGUAGCGAUUAUCCAGGCUUGUAUCCUGGGGGCUGAUGAGGAGUAGGGUUUCUGGACAACUUAAACAGAUCCAGAGUUAGUCGAUCCUAAUCUCAAUAAUGGGAGAAAGGGAGUACAGUUGAUAUUCUGUAACUGACAACAGUUCGCGGCAACGCAUACUAUUUUUCUCCGCCAAUCUUAUACCGUUGGUAGGGAUCUCUUUCCUACAUGACAGUACUAAUACCCAGGGAAACUGGUCAUCAGGCGAACUGCGGCGUUCUGCUGGCAAAACAUAGCUUCGGUUAUGUCAAUGGCUAUUGGAUUGGUCCAUGAAGCGAAAAAUAGUUUACUGUGUCACUCGUACGCAUACCGCAUCAGGUCUUCUAGGUAAGUAGCCUAUGGCCAUUGAGGCAUGAUAGUUCAGGGAAUUCGGCCAAUUAGAGCUGUAACUUCGGGAUAAAGCUUGGCUCUGAUGAAAAUCAGAACCGAUUGUUACGCGGAGAGCCCAACUGUUUAAUAAAAACGUAGUGUCGCGCUGUGGUAGUAUAGCACGUGAACGCGACAUGAAUCCUGCUCAGUGCUGUGUCUGUUAAUAUGGUUCAAGCCAACGAAGCACCGGUAAAUAGCUGGGGUAACUAUGACUCUUAUCAAAGUAGCGAAAUACCUCGUCACUUAAUUAGUGACCUGCAUGAACGGAGCUAUGAGGUUCUCACUGUCCCAAACUGUCUCUCAGCGAACCAACUGUAGUGGGAACGGUCACUAGAUAUCCAGCGGGGAAAGAAGACCCUGUAGAGCUUCACUUUGGUCUAGUCUUGUAUAGUUCCUGCGGGGGUGUAGACUAGGUGGGAGAGCAAUCGAUUCUGAAAAACCACUACCCUGUUUGGAAUUAUGCUUACCUAUCACAAGGAAUAGGACUAGAUAAGAAAG